AAGCGCUUAUGCAAAUAAGCUACGAAAACAAAUCAAGGCGAAAACAAAUCAUGGAUUCGCGUUUACAAUAACAACAUCACGCUUCAUAUCAGAGCAUCGUGCUCAUCACUAUAGCUCAUGGAUUCAUGUUCUUGGAUUUAUUUCGACAUCAUUCAUGGAAGUUCGUAAAACUGAGGCGAGACUCAGAUCAAAAUGAGAAAUGACUCACCGAAUUUCCAAGAACAUGUUAGCUUAUGGAGAUCGAAACAAGUAUCUCUGCGAAACCCUUUCGGUGUUCAGAAUUUGGUCUUCCCUAUUUGAUGCUUGGAUCCGGAGAAGUGAAAACUUAGUGAAAGCAUGAGUAACUUUGGUUUACAGACUUCAUCUUCUACUUUGUGAUACAGGUGUUUUUGUUAUGGAAAUCCUAGGGUGGAGUUCUAGUAUGGAUGAAGUUCUUAGAUCCGCUUCUGGUUCGGUUGAGGAUGUGAAACUGUUUUGCUGUGAUCAAACUCAGGUUAACCAUUUGCCUUGGAAGUUAUGUUAGAGGCUGCUAUGGAGUUUUCGGUUUUGUAUGGAGGUUAACCAACCAAUUAGUAAGGGCAGAUUCAGGUUGUGGCUUUGAAUCGUGCUGUUGGAGGUUAGGUGGAUAUCAUUUGGGUUGAAAUUCGUUGGACAGUUGGAAGUUCGGUUGGAAUUUGUUAUGAUUCUAUUCUGAAUUCAGUUGAAAUUUGGAAAUUCGGUUAGAUGUUGGUUUUUACUAAAGUUCUAUUAGUGAAGUGAUUUAGAAAAUGCUGUUAGAUAGUGAAUUAUUCUUUUGUGCAGUUAGUAAAAAUGUUGUUAUGAAUAUUGUUAAUUCUGUUAGAUGUUGAAUGUUGUUAGUUCAAUUGAUUAUAAUGCUUUUAAUCGAAACUGAUGGAAAUAUGUUAUAUUAGCUAAUGUGAAGUGAAAAAAUCAGAAUUGAAACGAACAUUGUAUUUCUUACCAAUUCCUGUUAUGGAACGAAAGGCGUCGCCGUCAUAGCUUAUUGGAGAACUGUUUUGGAGUUGUUAUAAGUUUAGGAUGGGAUUACUUGAUGUCUUGUUAUUUGUUGGCUGCUGCAGCUUGGAUUAAUGUGAAUAUGCCUGGGACUGAUACAGGUUAUUGACCGUUGAUGUUUGUGCAGGAUCCUUUGGUUUGCAACUUGCAGGUGUGAUGCAUAAUUGGUUAAUUACUGCAUAAUUUUGGACAUAUUUGCUUCAGGAAUGAAUAGAAAGUCUGAAGGUUAUUGGUUAGCUUGGGAAUUUCGGCUUGGAUGCGGCUACAAAGCACAUUGGAUGGCGGGUCUGUUUUGGAAUUCUUAUGGAGUGCUAUGGCCUUGAUGAUGUUGAUUCGCCACUGUUAAAAAAAUCAUAUGUAAUGGAUUGGGAUAUAUAGAAUGUAUUGAAAUGGUUGGGUAGUGACUAUUGUAAUUUAUGGAAAUGUUGUAAUGGUUGUAUAAUGUCAUGGUUUUGUGGUUUAUGUGCUUUGAGCGCAAAUGUAUUUUGGAAUUGGAAUG